GCACCCGUAGCUCAGUUGGAUAGAGCGUCUGACUUCGAAUCAGAAGGUCGUUCGUUCGAGCCGAACCGGGUGUACCA
rnacentral:tRNA from 1 species